rnacentral:rRNA from 1 species
AGUGAACGCUGGCGGUAGGCCUAACACAUGCAAGUCGAACGGCAGCACAGUAAGAGCUUGCUCUUACGGGUGGCGAGUGGCGGACGGGUGAGGAAUACAUCGGAAUCUACUUUUUCGUGGGGGAUAACGUAGGGAAACUUACGCUAAUACCGCAUACGACCUACGGGUGAAAGCAGGGGAUCUUCGGACCUUGCGCGAUUGAAUGAGCCGAUGUCGGAUUAGCUAGUUGGCGGGGUAAAGGCCCACCAAGGCGACGAUCCGUAGCUGGUCUGAGAGGAUGAUCAGCCACACGGGAACUGAGACACGGUCCAGACUCCGACGGGAGGCAGCAGUGGGGAAUAUUGGAAAAUGGGCGCAAGCCUGAUCCAGCCAGGCCGCGUGGGUGAAGAAGGCCUUCGGGUUGUAAAGCCCUUUUGUUGGGAAAGAAAAGCAGCAGGUUAAUACCCCGCUGUUCGGACGGUACCCAAAGAAUAAGCACCGGCUAACUUCGG